AUUGAACGCUGGCGGCAUGCCUUACACAUGCAAGUCGAACGGCAGCACGGGGGCAACCCUGGUGGCGAGUGGCGAACGGGUGAGUAAUACAUCGGAACGUAUCCAGUCGUGGGGGAUAACCAGUCGAAAGAUUGGCUAAUACCGCAUGAGAUCGAAAGAUGAAAGCGGGGGACCCGCAAGGGCCUCGCGCGAUCGGAGCGGCCGAUGUCGGAUUAGCUAGUUGGCGGGGAAGAGCCCACCAAGGCGACGAUCCCGUAGCUGGUUUGAGAGAACGACCAGCCACACUGGGACUGAGACACGGCCCAGACUCCUACGGGAGGCAGCAGUGGGGAAUUUUGGACAAUGGGGGCAACCCUGAUCCAGCCAUGCCGCGUGUGUGAAGAAGG
rnacentral:rRNA from 1 species